CCUACGGGUGGCAGCAGUGGGGAAUAUUGCACAAUGGGGGAAACACUGAUGCAGCGACGCCGCGUGAGUGAAGAAGGAUCUCGGUAUGUAAAGCUCUAUCAGCAGGGAAGAAAAUGACGGUACCUGACUAAGAAGCCACGGAUAACGACGAGCCAGCAGCCGCGGUAAUACGCAGGGGGCAAGCGUUAUCCGGAUUUACUGGGCGUAAGGGGAGGGUAGACGGCAGCGCAAGUCUGGAGUGAAAUCCCGUGGCUUAACCAUGGAACUGCUGUGGAAACUGUGCAGCUAGAGUGCAGGAGAGGUAAGCGGAAUUCCUGGUGUAGCGGUGAAAUGCGUAGAUAUUAGGAAGAACACCGGUGGCGAAGGCAGCUUACUGGACUGUAACUGACGUUGAGGCUCGAAAGCGUGGGGAGCGAACAGGAUUAGAUACCCGAGUAGUC
rnacentral:rRNA from 1 species